rnacentral:tRNA from 1 species
CCUGGGUGGCUCAGUUGGUUAUGCGUCCGAUCUCUCAGUUCGUGGGUUCGAGCCCCACGUUGGGC